rnacentral:rRNA from 1 species
AGAGCACACGGUGGAUGCCUUGGCACCAGGAACCGAAGAAGGACGUAGGAGGCUGCGAUAAGCCUCGGGGAGCUGCCAACCGAGCUGUGAUCCGGGGAUGUCCGAAUGGGGAAACCCGGCUGGGGGAAAGCCCAGUCACCCGCGCCUGAACACAUAGGGCGUGCGGAGGGAACGUGGGGAAGUGAAACAUCUCAGUACCCACAGGAAGAGAAAACAACAGUGAUUCCGUGAGUAGUGGCGAGCGAAAAGCGGAAGAGGCUAAACCAUAGCUGCGUGAUAGUCGCCAGACGUUGCAGCCAUGGGGUCGUGGGACCGCUCAUUGAGCUCUGGCGGGCUCAGAGGGAGUAAGAAAUCCAUGUCAUAGACGAAGGCCAUGCGAAAGGGCCGGCACAGAAGGUAACACCCCUGUAGUCGAAAUGUCAUGGACUCCCGAGCGGGAUCCCAAGUAGUACGGGGGCCCGAGAAAUCUCGUACGAAUCUGGCGGGACCACCCGCUAAGCCUAAAUAUUCCCUGGUGACCGAUAGCGG